UGGUGCUUGCCCUGAUUGACGAUGGAUCACCAGUGAGUGGCGGACGGGUGAGUAACACGUAGGUAACCUGCCCCGGAGCGGGGGAUAACAUUUGGAAACAGAUGCUAAUACCGCAUAACAACAAAAGCCACAUGGCUUUUGUUUGAAAGAUGGCUUUGGCUAUCACUCUGGGAUGGACCUGCGGUGCAUUAGCUAGUUGGUAAGGUAACGGCUUACCAAGGCGAUGAUGCAUAGCCGAGUUGAGAGACUGAUCGGCCACAAUGGAACUGAGACACGGUCCACACUCCUACGGGAGGCAGCAGUAGGGGAUCUUCCACAAUGGGCGCAAGCCUGAUGGAGCAACACCGCGUGAGUGAAGAAGGGUUUCGGCUCGUAAAGCUCUGUUGUUGGAGAAGAACGUGCGUGAGAGUAACUGUUCACGCAGUGACGGUAUCCAACCAGAAAGUCACGGCUAACUACGUGCCAGCAGCCGCGGUAAUACGUAGGUGGCAAGCGUUAUCCGGAUUUAUUGGGCGUAAAGCGAGCGCAGGCGGUUGCUUAGGUCUGAUGUGAAAGCCUUCGGCUUAACCGAAGAAGUGCAUCGGAAACCGGGCGACUUGAGUGCAGAAGAGGACAGUGGAACUCCAUGUGUAGCGGUGGAAUGCGUAGAUAUAUGGAAGAACACCAGUGGCGAAGGCGGCUGUCUGGUCUGCAACUGACGCUGAGGCUCGAAAGCAUGGGUAGCCGAACAGGAUUAGAUACCCCUGGUAGUCCAUGCCGUAAACGAUGAGUGC
rnacentral:rRNA from 1 species